ensembl:snRNA U7 U7 small nuclear RNA
GAACAUUUUCUCUUUUAGUAUUUCUCCAGUAGGUUUCUUGAAGGGGAAAACCUUU